GAUGAACGCUAGCUACAGGCUUAACACAUGCAAGUCGAGGGGCAGCAUGUCGGUUGCUUGCAACCGACGAUGGCGACCGGCGCACGGGUGAGUAACGCGUAUCCAACCUACCCUUGUCCAUCGGAUAACCCGUCGAAAGGCGGCCUAACACGAUAUGCGGUUCUCAGCAGGCAUCUAACGAGAACGAAAUGUGAAGGAGAAGGAUGGGGAUGCGUCUGAUUAGCUUGGGGGGGGGGGUUCGGGGGUAACGGCCCACCAAGGCGACGAUCAGUAGGGGUUCUGAGAGGAAGGUCCCCCCANAUUGGAACUGAGACACGGUCCAAACUCCUACGGGAGGCAGCAGUGAGGAAUAUUGGUCAAUGGACGGGAGUCUGAACCAGCCAAGUAGCGUGCAGGACGACGGCCCUAUGGGUUGUAAACUGCUUUUAUAAGGGAAUAAAGUGAGUCUCGUGAGACUUUUUGCAUGUACCUUAUGAAUAAGGACCGGCUAAUUCCGUG
rnacentral:rRNA from 1 species